UCCCGCUUGACGCGGGCAGUCCCCCUAGAGUGCCCACCCAGAGUGAUGGCAACUAGGGGCAGGGGUUGCGCUCGUUGCUGGACUUAACCAAACACCUCACGGCACGAGCUGACGACAGCCAUGCAGCACCUAUAUAGAGACCCUUUCGGGAAAUACCAUCUCUGAUAUCGUCCUCUACAUUUCGAGCCCAGGUAAGGUUCUUCGCGUUGCAUCGAAUUAAACCACAUGCUCCACUGCUUGUGCGGGCCCCCGUCAAUUCUUUUGAGUUUCACCCUUGCGAGCGUACUCCCCAGGCGGCAUACUUAAUGCGUUAGCUCCGGAACAGAAAGGGUUGAGCCUCCCUACUCCUAGUAUGCAUCGUUUAAGGCUAGGACUAC
rnacentral:misc_RNA from 1 species